CAAUAGCGUAUAUUAAAGUUGUUGCAGUUAAAAAGCUCGUAGUUGGAUUUCUGGUCGGAAGCUCCUGUCCUCUGAUGAGCGUACAAGUGCGUCCUACCAUCCUUCUGUUAACCUUUAAGGCUUUCGCGGCUUUCUAGGGGCUCAGAUAUUUUACCUUGAGAAAAUUAGAGUGUUUCAGGCAGGCUAGCGCCGGAAUACAUUAGCAUGGAAUAAUGGAAUAGGACUUUUGCCUCUUCUGUUGGGCAUGAGGCUCGAGUAAUGAUUAAUAGGGAUAGUUGGGGGCAUUAGUACUUAACUGUCAGAGGUGAAAUUCCCGGAUUUGUUAAAGACUAACUUAUGCGAAAGCAUUUGCCAAGGAUGUUUUCAUUAA
rnacentral:rRNA from 1 species